GUUCAUUUGGGGAAACUUUCGAGCUUUCGAUUUUGCCCUUAAUAUUUCCUAUGAUUUACAGGGAAAUAGAAAGGUGGAUGGUUCUGGGUUUUGACGACACAGAGGAGACGUGGCUAUCGAUGAGGAAAGGAGAAGAAAUUCAGAGGAAGAAAGAAAAUGGGAGAAAGGAAGAAACAGAAGAAAAGAAAUGAAGAAGAAGAAGAGGGAGACGGGAAAAGGCAGAGAAGAGAAAGUGAACGAGAGAAGGAGAAACCGUAACGUCAAAAGAUGUCAAAAUGGCAUGGUUAAGUUUCUGAUAGGUUACAUAUUUUAAGUAGGCAUUCAGAUCAAUGUUAAUAGGUCGUUAUCGGAUACAUUUGCAAUCUAAUUCUUCAGUUAUUUAUGAAAAUGGUAGCUUUUUGUGAUUGA